CCUACACUUUCAUUGCGAUCCCAGCCCCCGAUUCUCUCCUUUUACCUACCCCCGAUUCUCUCUCUCUGUUGAUGUUGGCCAUUACACAGAACGAAGAUGAUGGAAUCUGCCUGAUCUGCCCUUCUCCUUCUCAAAUCUAUAUUUGCAAUUUGUUAGGGGUUUGAGAGAACGAGAGAGACGAAUAAUGCUGACGAAAUUUGAGACAGAGUAAUAGGGUAAAGGGGCUGAGUUUCCACAACAAUAGUCCAUGGAUCCUAGCGAGCCUCCAUGGUGGUGUCAUCCAGCUUUGGGAUUACAGGAUGGGGACCCUCAUCGACAGAUUCAAUGAGCACGAUGGCCUUGUACGUGGGGUCCACUUCCACAAAUCUCAGCCACUCUUUGUCUCCAGAGGUAUAUCAAUCACCUCUUGCACUCUCUCUGUGCUGCCCUUUUCCUUUUUAAUCAGCAUUUCAUUUCAUGGUUUCUGGAGAUCAUUUCCUAAUGAACAAUGCUAGUAAUGAGACAACUUUAUUAUCUCCAAGCACAUCCAAAAUUGUGGCAAAACUUUGUCAAAAACUGUAACUUAGAAUUCUCUUUUGGAUUGUGUGUUUAUGUUUAUUUUAGGAUGUAAUAUAUUUUGGAUGGGUCUUGAGUCUAUGUAUACAACCCUAGCCCUGAAUUCUCAUGUGUUGGUGAUAGGUAUUUGAUUAUUCUUCUUUUAAGUUGUUUUGAUGCCCUAAUUUGUGUUUUCUGCAUUUUGUAUUUUGAAAUUGUGUAGCCUAACCUUUUCCCUUUCACAAAAUUCUCUUUUGGUUGUAAUUUUUACUAUCACUUGAUGCUGUUGUUUCACCAUUGCUCGAUGCAAGGCCUAAUCAUCUUUAGGUGAAGAUAGAAGCCUAAAUCCUGGAAAUUCCUUCAAUUCCCAAAAACUGCAUUUUGCUGUACAGAUUUGUUUGAGGAUUUGGUUGGGCGUCUUCUGCCUUGAAUACAUGAUUUUCUUUCAUCUUUCUUAUCGAAUUCCUUCACUGUUCUUGAGCUAGACAACUCUCAUUUAAUCUCACCUUCUUUUUUAUUUUUCACCCAUACCUGUAUUGGUUAUUAAAGAAUUUCGUCAUUUUUAACCCCUUCUUCUUUACCUUUUGACAGAAAUGGGUUUCUUUUCUUAUGGUGUAAUAAUAUAUGCUUAUUCUAUGC